rnacentral:rRNA from 1 species
AUUGAACGCUGGCGGCAUGCCUUACACAUGCAAGUCGAACGGCAGCACGGGAGCAAUCCUGGUGGCGAGUGGCGAACGGGUGAGUAAUACAUCGGAACGUGCCCAGUAGUGGGGGAUAGCCCGGCGAAAGCCGGAUUAAUACCGCAUGAGACCUGAGGGUGAAAGCGGGGGAUCGCAAGACCUCGCGCUAUUGGAGCGGCCGAUGUCAGAUUAGCUAGUUGGUGGGGUAAAGGCCCACCAAGGCAACGAUCUGUAGUUGGUCUGAGAGGACGACCAGCCACACUGGGACUGAGACACGGCCCAGACUCCUACGGGAGGCAGCAGUGGGGAAUUUUGGACAAUGGGCGCAAGCCUGAUCCAGCAAUGCCGCGUGCAGGAAGAAGGCCUUCGGGUUGUAAACUGCUUUUGUCAGGGAAGAAAUCCUUUGGGUUAAUACCUCGGAGGGAUGACGGUACCUGAAGAAUAAGCACCGGCUAACUACGUGCCAGCCGCCGCCGUAAGAC